GCCUAGGAGGCUAAAGUUUUUCUACAGACAAAAGGCAGGCAGAAGACAUGGGGUGGGGGAGGUCUGUCCCAGGAAAGCCCUAGAGAGUCCUGCUCCAUUACACAACCUCUCUGCCAGAUUGCCCUGGGGCUGGCUGUGUCCUCCAGGAAAGGCCAUGUGGAGUCCCUCUGCAUACAGCCAUCCUCUGAGACUCCUGUGACCACGCUCUUCCUCUGUCACUCUGGGUCCAGCCAAGGUGGACUCUUCGCUAUUGCUGCCUCUAGGCCUUGUGUGAGGCUAGUCCACAUUGUCCCUUGGAAGUCAUGGGGACGACAGCACAAAAUGGAUUCAUUCUCCCAGAGCCAAUUCUCUGGUGACUUGGUGUAACCUUUUUGCUGACAGCACACUGAAAUUGCUAAAGAACACAUUUGUCAAAAGCAGGACACAGGGAAGGGAAGGAACAUAGUACUUUUGCAAAAGACUCACAGUACCCACAAGACACAAACAAUGAAUUCACUGGACCUUUGGAACCCCCCAGAAGUACAAUUUUGCUUUGCUCUGGUUAACAAUUCAUGCCCUAGAAACGUGAGGUCUGGGCUGAGUGUCUGUGCCAUGUACGUUGUCAUGACUGGUGCCAUAGUGAUGACCAUGCUGGGCAACCUGGUUGUGAUCAUUUCCGUCGCCCACUUCAAGCAGCUCCACUCCCCAACCAACUUCCUGAUUCUCUCCAUGGCCACCACUGACUUCCUGCUGAGCUGUGUGGUCAUGCCCUUCAGUAUGAUCAGGUCCAUUGAGUCUUGCUGGUACUUUGGAGAUCUCUUUUGCAAAGUCCACAGCUGCUGUGACAUCAUGCUCUGUACCACCUCCAUCUUCCACCUCUGCUUCAUCUCGGUGGACCGCUACUAUGCUGUUUGUGACCCUUUACAUUAUAUCACCAAAAUUACCAUGCCUGUCAUAGGGGUCUUUCUGUUCAUCAGUUGGUCUAUUCCAAUCGUUUUUGCCUUUGGCCUGGUAUUCUCAGAAUUAAACAUAAUUGGUGC